rnacentral:rRNA from 1 species
CAGGUCAGCAUACUGCCGUGAAUACGUUCCCGGGCCUUGUACACACCGCCCGUCACACCAUGAGAGUUGGGAAUACCCGAAGCCUGUGAGCUAACUUAUAGAGGCAGCAGUCGAAGGUAGAAUCAAUGAUUGGGGUGAAGUCGUAACAAGGUAAC